rnacentral:lncRNA from 1 species
AUUCAGAAAAUAGCCAUUGAGCUCCUACCAUUUAAAAGUACUGCUAGACCAUAACAGGAAACUCAAGACACACCACUUUAUUUUCAUAACUUUCUGCUGUGGUAAAGGUAUUUGAGCGAAGUGAUAGAAACACCCGUUAAUAUAUAACAAGUUAUAUAACAAGAUUUUAAAGUACAGUUGUAAUGCUACCAAGAAGACUUUGUCUUUCUUGCCAAGAGAGAAUAGCACUUUAUUAGUACACUAAUUUGUGGAAGAACUCUGUAUAGGACUAGAACAGCGAGUGUGGCUACUAAAAUCAGGAAGUAGUCAGGAGUAAUGAAGUCUGAGAGACAGCCAGAGACCGUCUCUUCUAAGCCUUAUAGGUCCCAGUGAAGAAGGUCAAUACAGUAGCAAGCAAUUGCUUUAAAUACAUACAUUUAUGAGCUGAAGAGAUAGUUCACUAAUUAAGAGCACUGGCUGAUCUUGAGAGGAAGAACCUUGAUUCAGUUUCUUUUUUUUGUUUUUUUUUUUGUUUUUAGGUUUUUAUGGAUUCUUUGAGUUUCAUAUUAUGUACCCCCAUCAUGUUCUGCUCCUCUCCCCGUCCCCUCAUAUCAGCCUUUUGCUCUUGCAUCCUCCUCCAAAAUAAAACACACACACACACAGACAACAACAAGUCCAAAACAAAGCAUAGAAAACAGUAGAGACGGUAGUAGUAUGUUAUAGUGUGACCCACAGUACAUCCCUCUGACCACACAUUUCACUUGAAAUGUUCAUUGCGAUCAGUCAUUGGUCUGGUUCAAGAUCUCUGGCUUCUGUGACACCAUCAGUAUUGGAUCCUCUUUGGGACUCCUCCCAGUUAUUCUGUUGUUGUCCUGUAUCAUGGAGAUCCUGCAGCUUUGGAUUCUGGGGUGGGCCAUCUCAGAGCCCUGGAUCUGGGUCUAAGUGGUAACAGCUGAUCAGCUCAUUAGUUCUCCCUUAAUUACACCACCGGUGCAAGCUUUCUACCACUGCUCUGGCUAGGCCGGCCAAUACCACCAUCAGCAGGAGGCAGGGUCAGCUCUCCUGCUCUCAUGCUCUUGGGACUAACUCACCUGUGCCCCUUCCACCAGAGCCAGCUCCACUGUGCUGCCCAGUCAAGGCAUAGGGCCCACUCUCCCAAGUGCUGCAGCCUAUGAGGGGCUGGGACCGCUCUCCUGCUCUCACACCCUUGGGGCUGGCUCAUCUGAGCCCCUUCCAUCAGGGCCAACUUCACUGUGCUGCCCAGGUGCCCUGUUCUUCUGAGCGCUAGCCAGUGAGGGACAGGGCUAGCUCUUCUGCUCUUAUGCCCGCAGGGCCAACUCUACCAAUUACAGCAAGUGGCAAGGAGGAGGACAUCACCCCACACUCACACACACACCACCUCACAACAUAGGCGUGGGCCCAACUCUCCCGUGAUCUCGUCCUUGUCCCCUCAACUAGGACCAGAAGACUCUGUGGCCCAGAAGUGCAGGGACUGCUCUUCCUCUUGCAGCAGUCUGCAAGGAACAGGACCUGCUUACCCACUCUUAUGACCCCAGGGCCAGCUAUUCUGACUGCCAAAGGUGGGGAGGGAUGAGAGCAUCCACACCACCUCAUAGUAGAUGAGUGAGUGGCAGGGCCAACACUCCCUGGAUCUCACCCUCAAGGCUGGUGGUUCACCUGUGCUCCACCACCGGGGUCAGCUCUGUGUGCUGUCCAGGUGGGGUUCAGGGCCCAUUCUCCUGAUGCUGCAGCUGGUGAGGGGAGGGGCAGAGCUAUAUCUCUGGGAAACUUUCCUUCCUGCUGGAGGGGGUUGCAAAGAGUGCCACCCCAUGGCAGAUGAGUGGCAGGGUCAGCUCUCUUACACUUAUGCCCUUGGGGCCUGCUCACCCAUACCUCCACCGUCAGGAUCAGCUUUAUUCUGCUGCCCUGACAAGGCUCAGGGCCCACUCCACUGAGUGCUGCCAGCUGUGAGAGAUGGAGCCGGCUCUCUAGAGUACUGCAGCCACCUCACAGCAUAGACGUGGGCCCAAUUCUCCCACAAUUUCGUCCUUAGGACUGGCUCAUCCUUGUCCCCUCAACUAGGACCAGCUCUACUCUGGGGUGGGCCAUCUCAGUGAGGGGCAGGGCCAGUUUGGCACAGCCCCUGGACAUCCAAGUGGUCCCCGGUGGCUGCUCUGACCAAGGACUUCCUCAUGUUCUGUAGUGGAAAUAUGAGCCACAGACAAGGACACCGACCCCUGCUACAUGACCCCUGCCACUGAGUAGGCACAAAGUCAGAAAUAGCACCAGUGGCAGGGCUGGUCACUCACAACAGGUUACUUCUUUCUUCCCCCGAAUGUCUAGUUCCAUCUUUCUUCUUGAUGUUCAAGCUGUUCCACUUCUCUUUCUCUCCCAUCUGACCACCAAAUGCUUAUACAUUAUGGUGGCUCCAGCUGCAGGCUGGCCACAUGGCUGGCAGGUCCCUGGGUGACAUCCUCCAUCUAUACUGCAUGGCCUGUCUACAAGCAGAUGUCUAUGUCCCCCCUGUGCCUUGCACUGGAGGGCAGGUCUAUGGAUGUCAUGAUGGUCCACAGGUCUCUGUCUUCCUUCUUCCUCCCUGCACUGUCUGAAUUUGAUUUGAUUUUUUUUAAAGAUUUAUUUAUUUUAUUUAUGUGAGUGCACUGUAGCUAUCCUCAAGCACACCAGAAGAGGGCGUCAGAUCCCAUUACAGAUGGUUGUGAGCCACCAUGUGGUUGCUGGGAAUUGAACUCAGGACCUUCAGAAGAGGAGUCAGUGCUCUUAACCACUGAGCCAUCUCUCCAGCUCCCUUGAUUUGAUUUUUCAGCAGAUCCUUUUUUUUUAAGGAUUUAUUAUUUAUUAUAUGUAAGUACACUGUAGCUGUCCUCAGACACUCCAGAAGAGGGAGUCGGAUCUCCUUACGGAUGGUUGUGAGCCACCAUGUGGUUGCUGGGAUUUGAACCCAGAACCUUCAGAAGAGCAGUUGGGUGCUCUUACCAGCUGAGCCAUCUCACCAGCCCCUUGAUUUGAUUUUUAUGAGUUCUAGGCAUAAAACAACUUUUGACUAUCAAGCCAGAAUGAACAAAGGGUUGCCACUUACUCUGCCGCUGCUUAGUAUAAAAACAGUAUCACCAACAAGGCGUCUCUUUGCCCCUUGUCAGGGGGUUUGGUUCAAUUUCCAGUGCUUAUGUGGCAUCUCACAACUGUCCCUAACUCCAGUUCUAGGGUAUUCAGUUUCCUUUUCUGACCUCCACGGACAUACAUGCAAACAAAACACUCAUGUACAUUUUGUUUAAAGCAGUCAAGCCAGUUGUGGUGAUCCUUGCUUUAAACCUCAACACUCAGGAGGCAAAGGCAGAAAGAUCAUCUGUGAGUUUGAGGCCAGUAUGGUCUGUAUAUAUUGAAUUCCAGGCCAGGUGGGGCUACAUAGUGAGACUAUCUUAAGAACCAAAAACAGGGGCUGCAGAGAUGGCUCAGUGGUUAAGAGCACUGGGUGCUCUUUCAGAGGUCCUGGGUUCAAUUCCCAGCACCUACAGGGCAGCUCAUAAUUGUCUGUAAUUAUAGUUCCAGGAGAUCUGAUACCCUCACACCAAUGCACAUAAAACUAAAUAAAUUUUUUAAAAAACAAAUAACAACAAAAACUCUAAACCCAAAUACUUAUUUCAGACUUAAAUUCAGACUUAUGAAAGUCUGUUCCCUAAAUUUGGCUUUUAUUUUAUGUGAAAAAUAUUAUCUUUUAGGUAUCUUAUUUUUCCUUAUUGUUAAAAGUAAGAACAUUGAUACAGAGAAACCCUGUCUUGAAAAAAACC